GAUGAACGCUGGCGGCGUGCCUAACACAUGCAAGUCGAGCGAACCCUUCGGGGUGAGCGGCGGACGGGUGAGUAACGCGUGGGUAACCUGCCCUAUACACACGGAUAACGUACCGAAAGGUACGCUAAUACGGGAUAAAGUUGUUGGAUGGCAUCUUCUAACAAUCAAAGCUCCGGCGGUAUAGGAUGGACCCGCGUCUGAUUAGCUAGUUGGUGAGGUAAUGGCUCACCAAGGCAACGAUCAGUAGCCGACCUGAGAGGGUGAUCGGCCACACUGGAACUGAGACACGGUCCAGACUCCUACGGGAGGCAGCAGUGGGGAAUAUUGCACAAUGGGCGAAAGCCUGAUGCAGCAACGCCGCGUGAGCGAUGAAGGUCUUCGGAACGUAAAGCUCUGUCCUCAAGGAAGAUAAUGACGGUACUUGAGGAGGAAGCCCCGGCUAACUACGUGCCAGCCGCCGCGGUAA
rnacentral:rRNA from 1 species